GUUCCUUGAAAAUCACCCUUGGCAUUAGCCUUGAUGGUUAUGAGGGGGAUGAGAUUUGCUGCUAGGAACCACUAGAGGCUUCAGAUCACCACCUGCUCCCCCAGUAUGAAGAGGGUUGAAGCCCAGGAUCUGACGGUC